GAGUUUGAUCCUGGCUCAGGACGAACGCUGGCGGCGUGCCUAACACAUGCAAGUCGAACGGGGAUAUUGAUUUCGGUUGAUAUCCCAGUGGCGAACGGGUGAGUAACGCGUGAGCAACCUGACCUUUUGAGGGGGAUAACACCUGGAAACAAGUGCUAAUACCGCAUAAGACCACGGAGCGGCAUCGUUCAGGGGUCAAAGGAGGAAUCCGCAGAAGGAGGGGCUCGCGUCCCAUUAGAUAGUAGGCGGGGUAACGGCCCACCUAGUCGACGAUGGGUAGCCGAGCUGAGAGGCUGAUCGGCCACACUGGAACUGAGACACGGUCCAGACUCCUACGGGAGGCAGCAGUGGGGAAUAUUGGGCAAUGGGCGCAAGCCUGACCCAGCAACGCCGCGUGAGGGAAGAAGGCUUUCGGGUUGUAAACCUCUGUCCUUGGUGACGAAGGAAGUGACGGUAGCCAAGGAGGAAGCCCCGGCUAACUACGUGCCAGCAGCCGCGGUAAUUC
rnacentral:rRNA from 1 species